CCUGGCCUACGGGAGGCAGCAGUAGGGAAUCUUCCACAAUGGGCGAAAGCCUGAUGGAGCAACGCCGCGUGGGUGAAGAAGGUUUUCGGAUCGUAAAGCCCUGUUGUUAGAGAAGAAAGUGCGUGAGAGUAACUGUUCACGUUUCGACGGUAUCUAACCGGAAAGCCACGGCUAACUACGUGCCAGCAGCCGCGGUAAUACGUAGGUGGCAAGCGUUAUCCGGAUUUAUUGGGCGUGAAGGGAACGCAGGCGGUCUUUUAAGUCUGAUGUGAAAGCCUUCGGCUUAACCGGAGUAGUGCAUUGGA
rnacentral:rRNA from 1 species